rnacentral:rRNA from 1 species
AUGUCCCAAAUGGUCCGUCAUCUCAUCACUCUGGCCAGAGGAGAGAAUACAGGUGUUAACAGAACAAAGGAACACCUGGAAAUUGAAAACAAGCUUAAGGAGACAGCAUUGCAUCAAGCAAUCUGCAUUGGAAAUAAUGAUACGGUCAAGCUGCUAAUACAGGAGGACUCAGAGUUGGCCAGUUUCCCGAAAGACGGCACUUCACCUCUGUACCUGGCCAUCUUGCUGGAAGAGGACAUCAUUGCUGAGACACUUUAUAAUGCAAGUCACAAGAAGAUUUCCUAUUCCGGGCAUCAUAGUAUAUAUGAACGUCUUUUUGCAUGA